GGUCCUAUAGUUUAGUGGUAAUGACGUUGGAUUUUGAUACCCAUCAAAAACUUUCCGAAGACCCCGGUUCGAACCCGGGUAGGACCUC
rnacentral:tRNA from 5 species